rnacentral:rRNA from 1 species
AUUGAACGCUGGCGGCAGGCCUAACACAUGCAAGUCGAGCGGAUGAAGGGAGCUUGCUCCUGGCUUCAGCGGCGGACGGGUGAGUAAUGCCUAGGAAUCUGCCUGGUAGUGGGGGAUAACGUCCGGAAACGGGCGCUAAUACCGCAUACGUCCUGAGGGAGAAAGUGGGGGAUCUUCGGACCUCACGCUAUCAGAUGAGCCUAGGUCGGAUUAGCUAGUUGGUUGGGUAAAGGCCUACCAAGGCGACGAUCCGUAACUGGUCUGAGAGGAUGAUCAGUCACACUGGAACUGAGACACGGUCCAGACUCCUACGGGAGGCAGCAGUGGGGAAUAUUGGACAAUGGGCGAAAGCCUGAUGCAGCCAUGCCGCGUGUGUGAAGAAGGUCUUCGGAUUGUAAAGCACUUUAAGUUGGGAGGAAGGGAAGUAAGUUAAUACAUGGCUGUUUUGACGUUACCAACAGAGUAAGCACCGGCUAACUACGUG